AGCUGCGGCUUAGGUCACAACUGCAGCUCAGAUCUGAUCCCUGGCCCAGGAGCUCCAUAUGCGGUGGCGCAGCCAAGAAAACAAACAACAACAACAAAACAUGUAUUUUAAAAAUCCAGCUUAUGGACUUGUCAUUUAUUCUUCCCUGCCUCUAACCAACCAGUCCUGCCAUAUUUAUAGGACGGCCUCCUCGUGUCCCAGGCCCAGAUCCACAGUGGUGUGGACGGUAGGGUGGUCUGGCCAGCCAGGACAUCAGCAAGCCUGGUUUAGCGGCUUCUCAGAGGCCCCUCCCCACCAGCCCUGCCCCCACCCAGCACCAGCCCCACUCUGAGGCUCUGAUGCUGUGUCUUUAUUCAAGGAAGAGCACUUUCCCCCACUGGGCGGCCCAGACCCUGGGCUCCCUGGGAUUCCUCCCGCUGAAGCCGGGGACGUGCCCACGGGUCUGUUUAUAACCAUCCAUCUUUCCUCGACAGACCUGCCUCCUGACCCACCUUCUGGGCAGGAGGGAUCAUUUGUUUGUUGGUUUGGUUUCUGUUUUUUUAAGAAAGCAGGUAUUAGAGAAGUGAGAGCGGGACGUGAAAUCAGACUGCCUGGAUUCUCAUCUCAGCCCCUCCCCUGACAAGAUGAUGCCUUUGGGCAAGUUGUUCAACCAAACCCAGGGUCAGCCGCCUCCCCUGUGGAACGGAGGGUCCUGAGAGCACCCAUUUCAUCCCAUUGCUGGGAGCGUCGAAGGAGGUAACGCAGGCGAGGCAUUGGAGCCCCGCGCUUCGUGAGCAGUAAGUGCUCGCUGGGCGGCACCUGCCUUUACCGUAAUGAUGCCGCCUGUCGCAGCAGCCUUCCCGGCAGCCUCAGGGGGGCCCCACGUCUGCGAGCCACAGGCCCCGGGUAAGUCCCCACACCUGUUUCUGCACCGCCCGCUGCCUUUCCCACUGCAGGGCCUCUCGCUUCCCCCGGGGGCUGCUCGGCCCCGCCGCCUGCUCGCCUCUUCCUGGCCCGCCACCCGCCUCAGCCUCACCUCCUCUGCUCCAGGGCCAGCUUUGAGGGAGGCUGGCCCCUCAGUCCCUGCUGUGGUGCGAACACAGUAACUGGGUAUGAGAGGACCUGGGUUUGAGUCCUCUCUUUGCUAGUUCCUGUCAGGAAGCAUGUCUCUUUGCUUCAAGUAAAUCAGGAUGGGCUGAGGAGGGGUCCUGAGCCUGAGACUCUGCCCAGGACCGAAGGUGUGUGACAAGGGCUCCUGUGCAGGGUGUCCAGCCGCUGGGCGUCCGGCAGGCAGGAGGAACACCGAGCCAGGGGGCGGGGGGACUGGAGGCAGGCAGUCGCCCUGCCAUCUCCUGGACGGGGCUCAAGGGAGCCUGGAGAGCUCAGGGGGUCCCAGUGGGAGCAGGGCCUGGGGCGGGGGCCCUGAGGUUGAUGCCCAGACACAUGCCCUGGGCAGGUCUUGUGAGUGUGGGGAAGGUCGGGUGCCCCCCCAGGUGGCUGACAGGUCACCCUCUCCAGAAGCCACGUGGUGCUGAAGGCCACGGUGCAGGGGCUGACCGGCUGCCGUGGUCCACGCGGGCCCAGGCCCCCGCUCAGCCUGGGUUCGCUCCUUCCCAUGGGAGCCGUGUGGAGAGGGGUCUCGCUGGUCACCUACGGCUUUUCCUGCCUCCUGGGUAGACGGCACGGGCCAGUGGGAGCAAGGGCAGAGCUGCCUCGGCUCCAGGGGAGCCCCGGCGACAGAGGCUGGGCAGUGGGGUCCCGAGGAGGUGCUGGGCUGCUUAGACUCACUGUCCUGAGGCUCCUUUAACUCUUCCAGGAGGCCCUGGGCCUCUUCUUCUGAGACGUAAAUAAGGAGUAGUUUGGAAACAGCCAAGCAAAUGUGCUUAUAUUGUCAUUACUGUGCCUUGGGUAAGUACACAAGGAUGUCACUUAAAUUCCGCACACGGUAAAGCGAGAGAAUACACCGGAGAAUUCACAAAGGUCCCUGAAGUCAGAUAGCUUCUGAGGGGGAGUGGCGCGAGGAUGGGCCUGGCUUGGCGAGAGAAGCGUCUGCGAGGGAAGCGAGGGAAGGGAGGCAGUCACUUUGGCUCAGAACUGGUGCCACAACCGAGCUUUGUCGUUUCCUGAACUGGGGCCUCGGUGCUCAGCCGAUGUUCAGGGCUGGUGCUGCCAUGACAGGGGCCCCAGCCUGAGACCUCCCUGCUCUGGGCCAGUCGUGGGGGCGUCUGGGGAAAGCCUUUGGUCACGUUACGUGGACAGACCAAGUUCAAUUGUGGAGCAGGGAGCUGGUUCAAGGCUGCCCUUGGGGUUGAAUGAGCCGAGGCAAAGAAUUAGGCGUCACCUCAGAGGCACUUCCGUUACAUUGCAAGAGAUUCUGCAGGUUUGGAGGUUUCAUAUCCCCCAUACCUCUCAUCCUGUCAACACGUCAGCCCAAUUAUUAUCCCAUUUUUAACUGCACAGAAAAAUAGGAUUUGCCCAAGGGCACAUGGCCAAGUUGGGACUAGAACCCAGGUCCCGGAGACCAGGGCUGGCCCUUCUCCCCAGGGCCCUGGGAGGCUCAGUGUCCCGGACUCGGGCAGGAGCCAGGAUCAGACCGGGGCUGUGGCCAGUGGCUCAGAGGACAAGGACCUGACAGUUCCAAGCACAAAGGCAGGUGGCACAUGUCUUGCUGGGUUGAAACGGUGUCUGGCGGCAGCCUGCGGGAGACCUGUCCUUUCUGUUUAGAGUUUUAUGUGCUGAUCAGAAUUUCUGCAGAAGCAAGCAUUGCAUAGCCAGACCAAAUAAUCACGUUGUUUCUCUGGGGGUGGGUGGAAAUCUGUGCGCAGCCACGUCGGGGUCCUUCACCCACCAGCCGCUGCUUCUGGGGGCAGGUCUCUGGCCUCUCGCUUUCGGAGUCCCCUGAUGCCCUUUUCCUGAUGACGAUUUCACCAGCUCCGAUGUCCAGUUCUCGCAGCUCAGGCCCCUUUCUGGCAACCACAGCUGCCCUCCCCCGCCCUUCGAGGGUUUUCCAGCAAACCUUUUCCCUCAGUUCCUUGGCAGAAGAUGAGGGGAUCACAUGGCUGAGUGACCGGCGUUUUCUGAAUCAUGGAGUGGAAAGAAACACUACCCACAGAACCAGCACACAGGGCCUCUGUUGCAAGCCUGGGUAACAACUCGGCGGGGAAGUGAUUCAUCCGAGCCCACCCCACGUGCACACACGUGUUGGAGCGAGGGCAGUGCGGUGCUCGCCCUGCGCCGUGACUAAUGGGGCUUCUCAGACAGAGGGCAGCCCGGACCCCUCCCAGGCACAGCAGGGAGCCUGCUCCCCAGGGUCUGGGGCUGCCAGAGGGGUGUCUGGGGAGGUGUCAGGCAGCAGCUGGGGACAGAAAGUGAGGAGGGUGGAAGACCCGGGGGCAGGGGGAGAUGCGGGAAGAAACUAGGCAGACAGGCGAAGGGAGAGUAUGGGCAGCCCCUCCUGAAAACCAGGAGCUGGCUCUGACUCCUCCACUUCGCAUCCCUGGAGCCCACCCAGAGCCCACCAGCUGCAGGAGACACACGCUCACCCAGGUCAGAAGAGCCCGAGCGAAUAAUUCACCUGUUUGUGGGGUCCUUCUGAAGCCCGUCCCUGACUUCCUCCUCCCAGGAGCCCUAAGAGCACAUCCGCAAACCCAUAUGGCAGAGUCUGCACAGAGCCCCUCUUGUCCAGGCGCUGUCUUUCACAUACGUGAUCUAACUUCAUCAUCGCAGCAACAACGCAAAGAGCACCGAUGCCCUCUGUAAUACCAACGUGUUUCUAAGACUGCUGACGGUCCAGGCAGCCCUGGGGGCAUGUGUCGCCUGGGACUCACUGCUCUCCAGACCUCCUGGUUCUUUGUAAUGUGGACAGGCUUUCUCUAAGUGGCCAGGUGAGGAUGCAGGGUGGCACGGGGGAGAGGAACAGGCUACAAAGAGACUCGCACAGCCACAGCUCCCUUUUGGAUUGACAGACCUGUUCUCCCCGCCCCCACCAAGGCCCCCUAGCCCCCAGGCCCUGGGGCGGCUGUAAGGAACACCUAGGUCCCUUCAUUCCUCGUUCCAAACACCCCAGGGCCCGGCCUCCUUGCUGGAGGCCUGCCUGUUCUGGUUCAGCACCCCGUCUCUGCCAGCCAGGGUCCCAGAAACCCCCUCUGGGUGGCCUCCCUGAGUAUGCCAGGCUGCCGUGGGACGAUGACAGGGAGGAAGAGGGAAGGGACAGGUUUCUGAUUCUUCUCCCCUAGAAACCCUGCCUGGGGCCUUAGUGUUCAGAGGGAGGAAGAGAAGAGACUCCUGCCCCUGGGGAGCUCCCAGUCUGCUGGGGAGCACGGAGUGGGUGCAGACACACCCACAGACACACACCCACACACACCCACACACACACACCCACACACACACACACACACACACACACGAGAGCAGGUCCAAAAGAGAAACCCCGUAAAAGCCAGCCCAGACUCCUCUGCCCUGCAGAGCGACACACCUUGGUGACCAUAGAGCAAAGGCAGGGGUGGAGCCCAGGUGAGACAAUGAAAUGUUCUCCUGGGAGAAUCCUGGGGGGGAGAAGGGAAGACCCCUGAGGCUGGUCAUGUCACACGCCUCUGCCAGAAGGAGAAUGCCAGGCGGCCUAUGCUUGGCACCUAGAUGGGGGGGCACUUCCCCAGGUGUCCCCUCAGCUGGUGGUUCCUGCCGGGGGCAGGGGGUUGGGGUGAGGGAUGUGGGGGAGCAGGGCAGCCAGCCAGAAAAGACCCACAGGGAAGGGCAUCCACUGGGGGAGAAGCCAGCUGGUACCCAGCCCCAGACGGAGCAGAAGUUAAAUGAUGUUUGAAUGCCAGGAAGGAGAAGAAGGGAGGGACCAUUUAGCAGGAUCAUUCUCGUUACUGAGCGAGAAAAGACAUAAGACUGCCAUUAAUGAGGAUUCUUUUUAUUUUUUACUAGAUAAAUGAGUUUGAGCUUGUAAACAUCAAACUUUCUAGAAAGAAACCGUGACGUGGAUUCUGGAGAGAUGCAUUUCUGAAGCUUCUGGGUGAUCCCCUCACCCUCCCCGGAGCUGCAGUAAGCCACGACAAGGGCUUCCCAGAAGGGCCACCUCCCUCCCACACACAGAGCUGGGAGCCCAGCGAGCCUGCGAGGUGGGCAGGGUCCUGAGCUUCCUUCCGAGGCCCAGGUGUCUGUCAGGCAGGCCUGGCUCUCAGGCCUGGGAUGCACGGUGCUCCUCUCAGAAUCCCCUCUCCAGCUCAGCUCUGGGGCCUUCCAACCCUCACACCCUGUUCCUCCUGGUGCCGAGAAAGUCUGGUCCCCCUGGAGCCACCUGAGGCCACUCCCCAGCACUGCCUGGCCGGGACCCACAUCAUCCUCUGAGCCCGGACUCAGAGCUCCCGCGACUGAGAAGGUUCAACUGGGAGCUUGGUUUACCCGCUUUCUGUGCAGGCUGGUCAGGCCUCCACCUGUCCGACAGCGAACCGGGGGUCGGAGCAAACAGAGGGGUGCUGAGCACAGGAAGGCUGAGAAGUGCCUUGUGGGAAACACAGGUAUGCGGGGGAAGCUUUGUUCUCACGUGAAGCCAGUUUAUCCGCGUCUUCCGAGCCCUGCCGGGUCGGUGGGGUCUGUGCUUAGGGCUUAGGAGGAUGGGUGAACGAGAGCGCCUGAGGCCGGGCAUGUGUCCAGUCCUGUGUCAGCUCUAGGUGGGCGUGGGGGUCCCUACUGGCCCAGGGCCCUGCUGCAGAGCUGAGCGCUCAGCUUCCGGGCUACCAUGGGCCCAGCUCUGUGCUCAUCCUCUGAAAACUGUGCAAAUUCUGCAGAGCGGCUGGGGGCUCCUCCAGCCCAGGCCCAGGCCCUUGGAGAAUGUCCAGGACAGAGCAGGGCGAUAGCGGGGGGAGGCUUGUGGCUGCAGACUGUCCCUCCCCUGCCUGUCCUCAGAGAACACCCCCCCCCCGCCCCUCUUGGCUCAGGUGUGAGUUACGAUGCUGUUGGCUCCGAGCUCAACAUGAAUGAAUCAAUGGAUUAAAGUGUCUUUAAACAGAAACCCGCAUAAAAUGGGUUAUGUAUUGAUCAGCUGAUCAAGUUUGUGUCCAGGAGCUCAAAGGAGCCUAACCCUGUAUUUCCUCUAGGGACGAAGAUUCCAUGUUUGCUAAGUCAGGGUUCCUACGACUUUACAGACUAAUUACCAUGAAUAAUGAGGACCUACCAUCCAGGCGCUACACCUGGGCCCACCUGACUCAGCUGAGCAGGGCCCCCUGGGUCUGGCCGCUGGCCUCUGUGGUGACCAGACUCCACAGGUGGUCCUGGUGCGGGGCCCGAGUGGGAGCCGCGGCAGCGAUUCCUCAGAGCCCCCAUGUCAGGUCCACUGGGCCUUCUGGCUGCAGUGGGAGGGCAUGUGCAGCGCGAUGCAGUGAAAAGAAUGUAGGACUGCCUUGGUCAUGGGGAUGUGAAGACUGGGUGUGACCUCAGGCAAAUCCGCCAGCAUCCAGGGCCUCAGCUUCCCAUGAAGAUAAGACCUGUGCGUGGUGGGGCUUUGCUCUGCGAUUCAAGCAUGUUUUGUGGGCUGGGACACCAGGAGUCCACGGGUGUCUUUUUAGAAAGAACUCAUUGCAAGAGGCUCGGCCGAGAAUGCUGAGCACGGGUCUGGGCAGGGAAAGAGGAGGGAUCGGUGGGUGCUGCCCCUCAGCUCAGCCUCUGGCCUGGCCCCUGAGAGCUUGUGCCACGGAGCCCAGGAAUCUCGGUGAGACCCAGGGAGCCCAAGGCCACCAGCACGGAACUGGCACGUGGCCCUGGGCAGAGGCAGGAUGCUUCCCCUUCAGGGAGGGUGCCGCGCCCCACGGCUUUCUGUUUUUCUGGAUCAUUCUGUGGGAGCUGUACCUCCCUGGCAACACCCCCCACCUACUCCCACCUCAUGCUGUAGCUCCUCCUCCAGCUCUGGAGGCACUGAGGCAGCUGCGGCAGGUGUCACCUCAGAGAAGAGUCGGAGCCAAAAGGCAAGGACCCAGCUCCCAAGCUCAGGUAAGAUCCUUCCCAGGAGCUGGGGCAGGCAGAAAGCCCCAAGCGGUGAGUUCCUGUUUGUGCGACCAUUUUCUUAAAUUUAUUUUAUCGAAGUUUGGUUGAUAUACAGUGUUAUGUUAAUUUCUGCUGCACAGCAAAGUGGAUGCAGUUGUGGUAAGGAUUCUUUUUCAUAUGCCUUUCCAUUGUGGCUUAUCACAGGAUCAUUUAAUUCCCUGUGCUCUACAGUGGGACUCUGUUGUUUAUCCAUUCUGUUUAUAAUGGUUUGCAUCUGCUAAUCUCAAACUCCCCGUCCAUCUCUUCCCCACCCCGCCUCCCCCUUGGCAACCACAAGUCUCUUCUCCAUGUCUAUGAGGCUGUUCUGUUUUGUCGAUAAAGUUCAUUUGUGUCAUAUUUUAGAUUCUGCACAUAAAUGAUAUGAUAGGGUAUCUGUCCUUUGUGACUGACCUCACUUAGCAUAAUAAUCUCUAAUUCCAUCCAUGUUGCUGUAAAUGGCAUUGCUCUUUUUUAUGGCUUUAUAGUAUUUCAUUGUAUUUAUGUACCACAUCUUUAUGCAUUCAUGUGUUGAUGGGCGUUUAGGUUGUUUCAAGCCUUGGGUAUUGGAAACAGUGCUGCUACGAACAGAGCGAGGCGUGCGUCUGUUUGAAUUAGAGUCUUCGCUUGCUUGCCUGGGGUGGAACUGCUGGAUCAUAUGAUAGUUCCAUUUUUAGUUUUUAUGAGGAAGCUCCUUACUGUUUUCCACAGUGGCUGCACCAAGUUCCAU